AGUGAUCGCUGGCGGCGUGCUUAACACAUGCAAGUCGAGCGAAUUUUGGCAGCGUAUCGCCAAAGUUAGCGGCAGACGGGUGAGUAAUACUUGGGUAAUCUACCCUUGAGAGGGAAACAACCGGCCGAAAGGCUGGCUAAUGUCCCAUAAGACCACAGGAGCGGCAUGCUCCAGGGGGUCAAAGGUCCGCAAGGGCCGCUUGAGGAGGAACCCAAGUCCUAUCANGGUAGUUGGUGAGGUAACGGCUCACCAAGCCUUUGACGGUAGCCGGCCUGAAAGGGUGAUCGGCCACACUGGCACUGAGACACGGGCCAGACUCCUACGGGAGGCAGCAGUGGGAAUUUUGGACAAUGGGGCAACCCUGAUCCAGCGACGCCGCGUGAAGGAUGAAGGUCUUCGGGUUGUAAACCUCUUUC
rnacentral:rRNA from 1 species